rnacentral:rRNA from 1 species
CCUACGGGUGGCAGCAGUGGGGAAUAUUGCGCAAUGGGCGAAAGCCUGACGCAGCGACGCCGCGUGAGGGAUGAAGGUCUUCGGAUCGUAAACCUCUGUCAGCAGGGAAGAACGGUCACUGUGCUAAUCAGCAGUGACUUUACGGUACCUGCACAGGAAGCACCGGCGAACUCCGUGCCAGCAGCCGCGGUAAUACGGAGGGUGCGGACGUUAGUCGGAAUUACUGGGCGUAAAGCGCUCGUAGGCGGUAUGGCAAGGCAAGGGUGAAAUCCCCGCGCUCAACGUGGGAACUGCCUUGGAAACUGGCAAACUGGAGUGUGUGAGAGGAUAGUGGAAUUCCAGGUGUAGGAGUGAAAUCCGUAGAUAUCUGGAGGAACAUCAGUGGCGAAGGCGACUAUCUGGCACAUAACUGACGCUGAGGAGCGAAAGCGUGGGUAGCAAACAGGAUUAGAUACCCCUGUAGUC